GAGGGAGCUUGCUCCCGCUCGGGUGCGUAGCGCCCGCAAGUUUUUUGGGGCUGCUUCGCAACCCAGCGGGAGCAAGCUCCCUC
rnacentral:antisense_RNA from 1 species